rnacentral:snRNA from 1 species
GUACUUACUUCGGUAGUACUUAUACUAAAAUUGGAACCAUACAGACAAGAUUAGCGUGGCCCCUGCGUUAAGAUGACAGCAUUCCACAUUUCU